GGUAGAGCUCAGUGGCAGAGCACAUGCCUACCAUGCACGAGGUCCUGGGUUCAAUCCCCAGCACUGCCA
rnacentral:tRNA from 1 species